rnacentral:lncRNA from 1 species
CUCUGGAACUCCAAUGAGACCCCUUCUACAAGUCCAAAUACGCACAUCCCAGCUGCCUGGACUAUUCACAGCUGUAUCUAUGACUGGGCAUUACCUUCAGCAAUCAGGAUCACAAGUCCAAGGUUAUGACACUACCAAGGAAGCUGAUACAGAGAAACAAAGACCUAGUUCCUAUGAAGAGUUGUCCAGCUCAAGAGCUUCCCAUGGCUUGGCUGGGGUCUUAGUUGAACCCCAUUGCAGGUCAGCUUUUGUCUCUGGCUAAUUCUGAUUUCUCACUUCAUUAGAGGUUUAUUUUCUGUGAUCACACCUCAAAAAGCCUUUUGCAUGCCAUUCCCAUCUCAGAGUCUAUUUUCAGGGAACCUACUUUAAGAGAUUGACCUAAUGUUUGCUAUGAUCUAUGAGUACUACACUUCCUGGUCCCCACACCAGUGUGGUGUCUCUAUAAUGUCAUCUUCAACCCUAGGCAGGUGACAUCCAACUGCCUAGAUGUGUCCUGCCUGCUCAGGGGCAGUUUGAGUCAAAGCAGGAAAAGGUUGGUAAGAAAAUCAUGACAUGCUCACAUAAGCUCAUUUUUAACCAGCCCUACUCUGGAGUUUACACGGUAAACACAGUAGCGUGAACAACAGGAGUUAAUUGAAGCUAAAUGUUUAUUUGCCAGCUUUGAUAAUGAGCCUAUUGUAAAAACAGGCACAGAAGAGCAUGUGGACUGAGCAGAUAGGAGCUCAGGAUAGAAUGGUGAGAGUUUCCAUCUUGCUAUCUUUAAUGAUUUCUGGGCUCAAAAGAGCACUAAUUAUAAUUGGUUUGAUUUACUCUUGCCUUCCAGAAAUCAUGAGGUUAGGACACACCACUGGAGGAAACUACAGAGCAAGAUUUCACUUCAGAGAAAAUUCAAAAUUAAAAGCCGAUUCCAUGCAGUUCCAAAGAAGAGCAUGUGACUCCUCAGUGAAUCUCACCUCCCAGCCAGUUACUGGGUCAGGAGUGCCAUCCAAUCCAAUUUGGGCAAUGAAAGUGGAAAAUGUUACCAGUGGUUUCUGGGAAAGAUGUGUCCUGUUUCUUCAGAGAGAGCUUUCAGAGAAGACACUUCCUAUCUCUUAUUGUGCACCUACAAGCCUGUAGCUCUGGGAACAGCUGGAAGCCAACUUGCAACCACAUGGGGAAGCCAGAGAAGGCAGAGCAGAAGAAAAGAAAGACACCAGGCCCUGCUAACAUCACUGAGCCGCCACGUCACUCAACUCUGGACCUUGGACUCCCACAAAAACUCUGCACAAACUAAUUUUUGUUUAAGCUAAUCGAGUUGGUUUGUCUAUUUCUUGCAACCAAACACAUCCCAUCCUACCUAAUGCAACCACCUGGCUCCUGGACUCAUCAAACUAUGAGCCUUGCAUCUUUCAUUUAGUCAUUUAUUCAUCCACUCAUUCAUUCAACAAACAGAUCACCUACUUUGCAUCAGUUACUUACUAGGAACUUGUAAUAGAGUCCCAGUGAUGCAUUCAAUAAAUGAGCCUUGUCUUUAAGCUCA